rnacentral:rRNA from 1 species
ACUCAAAUGAAUAGACGGGGGCCCGCACAAGCGGCGGAGCAUGUUGCUUAAUUCGAUGCAACGCGAAGAACCUUACCUGGGCUUGACAUGCAGAGAAAAGCCGUAGAGAUACGGUGUCCUUCGGGGCUCUGCACAGGUGGUGCAUGGUUGUCGUCAGCUCGUGUCGUGAGAUGUUGGGUUAAGUCCCGCAACGAGCGCAACCCUUGUCCUAUGUUGCCAGCGGAUAAUGCCGGGGACUCGUAGGAGACUGCCGGGGUCAACUCGGAGGAAGGUGGGGAUGACGUCAAAUCAUCAUGCCCCUUACGUCCAGGGCUGCAAACAUGCUACAAUGGCCGAUACAAAGGGCUGCUAUUCCGCGAGGAUGAGCGAAUCCCAAAAAGUCGGUCUCAGUUCGGAUCGAAGUCUGCAACUCGACUUCGUGAAGCCGGAGUCGCUAGUAAUCCCGGAUCAGCAACGCCGGGGUGAAUACGUUCCCGGGCCUUGCACACACCGCCCGU